ACCUGAAUUACCUCCUUUUUGAUUUAGUGAGAAUUAGUGAGGGUUAAAAUUUCCUUUACAGUUUAUAUUGUUGCAAUGCAUCUGUUACCCAAAGAGGAAGAAGUGAGUAUAAUUUUCUUCUAUCCCGUGAACAUCUUGCAGGUAGUCCUCUUAAUUGUCACUAACAUGUAGUGGUGAUCCUUUGUCUUCUAUAUUUUGACUGAGAAGGUAAGGAUAGGUGAUCAGUGAUAGCACC
rnacentral:lncRNA from 1 species